AAAAAAAAAAAAAAAAAUUCCCAGUAGGGCAUCUGAAAUUGCUUUCUCAAAACCGAAACAGGUUAUUAAUACACCAGGCAUAUUAGGUAGUUUUAAUGGAACUACAGUAUGAAGCAAUUUUAUUGGAAGAAAAAAAAAUACUACCAGGGAUUGCCACUCCAGUCUUCUUUACAGAAUAAACUGGUAAAAAUGAUGCGGUGGCUGAAUGAAAGCCAGCUCUACUCCAAUGAUUCUCCAAUGCAUGAAUUAAGCAUGCAUCAGAAUUUCUGGAGGGCUUGUUAAAGAAUUGCUGGGCCCCACCCGUACAAUUUGUUUAUUCAAUAGAUUGGUAGUAGGAUAAGGAAAUAUUACAUUUUUUAAAGUUCCCGGUAAAAC